rnacentral:rRNA from 1 species
AACGGCCGUACCAUGCUGAAUAUACCGGUUCUCGUUAGAUCACCGAAGUUAAGCAUCAUUGGGCGCGGUCAGUACUUGGGUGGGUGAUCACCUGGGAACACUG